rnacentral:tRNA from 1 species
GGUUAAGACACCGCCCUUUCACGGCGGUAACAUGGGUUCGAGUCCCGUACGGGUCACCA